rnacentral:lncRNA from 1 species
GUUUUGUUCUUGCGUGACACACCGGAUUAGUAGACAACUUUAUAGCGCUUUGAUUGUCACCAAGAAGUUUUGUAGGCUUAUGAAUUGGUGAGAAUACAUCCCCAACAAGCCAACGAAGCCACGUGCAUUCCUGAGCAGCAAGAGUAGAAGCCUUGUAUUCCGCUUCAGUAGUAGAGAGCGAGACCGAGUCUUGCUUUUUACUGCACCAAGANNNNNNNNNNNNNNNNACAAGAGCCCGAUAAGGACGUGGAUCUGGUAAAAGCUUUCCUUCAUCACGCCUAAUUUUUAUGUUAGGCUCAAGAGGAGUAGAGCAAUGCUUACUUAUGUUUAUUCCAAACCUGUCAACAAACUUCCUCGCCUAGCUUUCUUGUGAAAGAAAUAUUCCGUCUUUCACAUAUUUCACUUCCAAACCAAGAAAGUGACUAAGCUCUCCCAAAUCUUUCAUUUCAUCCAUCUUUCACAUAUUUCACUUCCAAACCAAGAAAGUGACUAAGCUCUCCCAAAUCUUUCAUUUCAAAUCUGAUCGAGAGUUCAGCUCACAGUUUUGCAACCUCCUGUUCGUUAUUACCUGUAAUAAUCAUAUCAUCCACAUAUAGUAGCACAAUCAUGUGGAGCGCACCUUGCUUCUUCAGGAACAGGCUAGAAUCUGAGUCUGAUGCAAGAUAGCCACAAAAUUG